AAGUAACAAGUUUAGUUAGCAAAUGUAUAUAAACAAUAUGAAGCUACAGAUUUGGUGUACUCUGAUUAUGGAGAUCAACAGAAUCACUUGCAGGGCGGGAUGAUGAUGAGAUCAACAUAAUCACUUGCAGGGCGAGAUGAUGAUGCCAUCUGCCUCAUCAUACGCCUCAUCUCCUCCUACAUAGAGCAAAACUGGUCUUCACUCUGUUGCCUGAAGCGCGAUACCUCCCCCUCAACGAUUUGCUAGAGAAUUUGCUCUUAAUUUUCCCUUAUGCGUAUGAUCUCCUCCUCAAGCACUCUAAUGCGCUCAUCAGCAACAUGAUCUGUCACCGUAGCUGUCCUGUGUGAAGUGGCAAAGCUGUUAAAUAAGUCUGGA
rnacentral:misc_RNA from 1 species